UACACGCUUUAAACUGCCUUUUGCUAGGGCUCAUUUCUUUAUACUCCUUUAUUGUCUGUAAAAGAGCAAACGGCACGCUCCGUCUGCGUGUUUCUCAGGUAAUUUCACGUUUAAAUCUUGGCGGAAGGACAGAACUUUGCAAAACCAUAUGGAAAUGUCGUUUUUUUGGCAAUUAAUUCCUCAGUCCACCCCCACAGCACAGACAUCACUACAGAAGUGGCGAAUCAAGGGAAACAAGGACCGCCACUGCAUCGACCACGAAUCGUGGCUGACGAGGAAGUUAUUGUCACAAAGACAAAACUCAGCAGUGCUAUAACUAAAGGAAAAUCCCAGAGAGAGAACCAGCUGCCUGCAGCACACUCUCAGCAUGCUGAUGGCCUCCUACAGAACAAGAGCCUGCAGGGCUUGUGUGAAAGGCCAUACAGCAGACAGACCGACCCUGAGCCAUUAUUUCUGCAUCUUGGGAACCCCGUGUGGCAAAAAAUUCUGAUGCUGGAGAAAAAUCAAAGGCAAUGUAAAAUAUAAUGCUUUAUUAGAAACCUGCAUUCUAUUUAUCUUGUUGAUAACAGAGAAAACACCUUAUUCAAUAGUUAAUACGGUUAACUGCAUUAUUUUAUUCAUGCCUGACCUUUAAAAGUUAGACAAAAAGAAAA